rnacentral:lncRNA from 1 species
GUCUUCCCGUUCGCUAAAAAUUUAUUAUAAUAACAACAACCUAGCAUUACUGAGUGCUUACUGUGUACUAAGUGACUUGACAGGCAUUAUUUCAUUCGGUCUCCGUGGCCCUAGAGGUGAUCUUUGAACAACAUGAGUUUGACCUGCAUGGAUCCACAUAUACGUGAAUUUCCUUCCGCCUCUACCACUCCUGAGACAGCGAGACAAACCUCUCCUCUUCCUCUUCCUCUUCCUCCUCAGCCUACUCAGUGUGAAGACCUUUAUGAUGAUCCAUGUCCACUGAAUGAAUAGCAACAGCUCGGAGAAGGAACCAGAGAAGACUAGAAACAGGAUGGAACGGGAAGGUGGAGGGAGAGGCGAAGGGGAAGUCUCGAUGCUGACUACAAGGCCCCCUC